AUAGAGGUGAGAACAGGGAUGUGAACGUGGACAAACCAGUAGACGAAGCAACACCGCGGCCACAGGCAACCUUGAAAAGGAAGUUUCGGUAGAGUGGGGAGACGUGGAAGAUGUGGAGGAUACUAUUCUAGUUUUAAAGAAAUAAAAGCCCAGAGAAAUUUAUGUGGUCGAGAUUGCCAAAUUUUCCAAGAGAGGUCUCUUCCAAAAACACCAGCAGACAAGGAAGGAGGCCCUGAGGUCUUAAAAGAGAUUUAUUACAUCUGCUCACCGGCCUCUUUCUGGAACAUACGUGCCUGAGGAUCGACUUUAAAAAUAUGAUUCUUCUCAAGUAGCUAAACAAGCCUUAGAAGACAAUCCCUCCACAGAGAGAGGAAAAUUGAAGAUUCAGAAAAAACACAAGAUGUGAUUAGUCAAU